rnacentral:misc_RNA from 1 species
GAAAUGCGAUAAUUAAUGUGAAUUGCAGAAUUCAGUGAAUCAUCGAGUCUUUGAACGCACAUUGCGCCCCCUGGUAUUCCGGGGGGCAUGCCUGUCCGAGCGUCAUUGCUGCCCUCAAGCACGGCUUGUGUGUUGGGCUUCCGUCCCUGGCAACGGGGACGGGCCCAAAAGGCAGUGGCGGCACCAUGUCUGGUCCUCGAGCGUAUGCGGCUUUGUCACCCGCUCCCGUAGGUCCAGCUGGCAGCUAGCCUCGCAACCAAUCUUUUUAACCAGGUUGACCUCGGAUCAGGUAGGGAUACCCGCUGAACUUAAGC